rnacentral:rRNA from 1 species
UACGGGAGGCAGCAGUGGGGAAUAUUGCACAAUGGGCGCAAGCCUGAUGCAGCCAUGCCGCGUGUAUGAAGAAGGCCUUCGGGUUGUAAAGUACUUUCAGUCGUGAGGAAGGUGUUAAGGUUAAUAACCUUAGCAAUUGACGUUAGCGACAGAAGAAGCACCGGCUAACUCCGUGCCAGCAGCCGCGGUAAUACGGAGGGUGCGAGCGUUAAUCGGAAUUACUGGGCGUAAAGGGCACGCAGGCGGUUAAUUAAGUUGGAUGUGAAAUCCCCGGGCUUAACCUGGGAAUGGCAUUCAAGACUGGUUAGCUAGAGUCUUGUAGAGGGGGUUAGAAUUCCAUGUGUAGCGGUGAAAUGCGUAGAGAUGUGGAGGAAUACCGGUGGCGAAGGCGGCCCCUGGACAAAGGCUGACGCUCAUGUGCGAAAGCGUGGGGAGCGAAAC